rnacentral:lncRNA from 1 species
AUGAAGAACUUUAUAGCUAAAUCAGUAUUUUAUUUUUUUGUUUUUUAUUUAAGCCUAAAUAAUUAUAUUGUUAAUGGAAACUCCGGUAAAACUGAUUUACACGAAGGAAGACCUGGUAGUACGAGACCAAAUGUAAAAGAAUUACUCAACUCGUUUAAAGCUAAGGGAAAAGGACUUAUUACAGCGUAUUAUGGAUCAUGGGCAUCAUGGGAUGCAACAUCAAAAAUGCACCUUAUUAAUUCUAAUGUUAAUGUUAUAUAUGUUGCAUUUGCUAGAUUGGAUAUGAAAUAUCCUGGUUUACAAACGUUGUUAUCUACUCCAUCGAGUUUGUUACAAAACACUGGUUUGGAGUAUACGGAAGUUAGACAAUAUUUUGAUGAUGUUAAAAAAUUAAGAACAGCACGCCCAGACGUCAUUGUUCUUUUAUCCUUAGGAGGAGAAACUUAUAUGCCAAAUACUUUAGAUGGUGCAUUGAGUUCUGUACCAGAUAUUGUUUCCAUGGUUGAUGAUUUAGGAUUUGACGGUGUUGAUUUGGAUUAUGAACCUAAUGCAUCUUUUGACGGUUUAAAUACUCAAGAAACUGUCGAUUUUUACAUUAAGUAUAUAAACCUAAUUAGAGAAAAUAUGUGUGAUGACAAAAUAAUUUCGAUUUCCUUAUCUUCUAAUGGAGCUUUGAAUUGUAUAGGACUGAACCGUGAAUUAUGUUUAGAUCCAAAUAAUCCGUAUAAUAAAGAAUAUUUUGACAAACAAACAGAAAAAACAGAAUUAAAAAGAGUUGCUGAAAUGGUAUCAGCUGGUUCAGGUAUUUAUCUAAUGAAUCAAUUAAAAGAGAAACUUGAUAUGAUAUUUGUUCAAACAUAUAAUUUUAAUAAUACUAAUGACAAUAAAGUUUUUAUUGAUUUGUAUGACUCAUGGUACAAUUAUGGUAAAAAAUAUAAUUAUGUUAUAAUUAUGGGUUUUAAUAAUCAGGUAAAUGUCGAUCUAUAUCCUGCAUUUGAUUUAGAAUAUGUGAAAAAAGUUUCAGCUAGUAUCAAAAAAAAUAAUGAACAAAUGAAAAGAGCUGAUGGUUUGGGAUUGUGGGUAGUAGUCCCUAAUAUUGCUACUUCUGUUGAUCCCAUAAUUAAGAAUUUUGUUACCGCAUUACAUUAA